UUUUUUUAUAAUAAAGUAAUGCUUUUUUGGUGUAAAUAUAUAUUUUUUAAUUAUUCUUAAAAAAAAUACCCCUAAAUAAAUAAUUGUGCAAAGACUAGAAUAAGGUUUAAGAAAGUACUUAGGAGUAGGACCGUCGUAAUAAGAAAAUUGGCCCCUUCAUUUUUCUAUACGUAUGAGUCUAUCAGAAAAUGUUGGUUUUGUCAAAGAGACUUUUUCAAGGACUCUUCUUCGUUGGAAAAUGUCUGUACUCUUGCAGUAACGACCAUGAUCUACUAACGACUAAUUUUUAUCGGUCGAUAAUGGUUUAAUCGAUUUCGGUUGGUGAGUUGCUUUGAUUAAUUAUUUGUAUUGAUGUUUACUUAUAUCUUCUAAGUUUGAAGAACAAAAGAUAUUAGAAAAUCUGGAGAUGUGGUGGAAAAAUAUCCUAAAUGAAAAAAUAGAUUCUGCCAAUCAAAUUUCACUAUAUAUUUUUGUAAAUAUUUUCAAAUGAUUAAGAGUGUAAUUAUGAUAUGAAAAAGCAUUCUAAUAUUGAACUUAGGGAUAAUAUAAAAAGCAUACCAGGAGGAGAUUGAAGCAAAUGUCUUUUUGCAGUGGCAGUGGAAGCUAGAAGAAACAGAAGACACAACAAAGCAGCAACUAUUCUUGAGAAUUGCUUUUUGGAAGCCAUUUUUUCUUAAAAUAAACUUUUUUUAUUAAUUAUUCUUAUUUUUGUGCAUUUUCUAAAGUUA
rnacentral:lncRNA from 1 species